AGGAGGAGGAAAAUCGUCUCCGGGAAGAGCUGCGGCAGGAGUGGGAAGCCAAGCAGGAGAAGAUUAAGAGUGAAGAGAUUGAAAUCACCUUCAGUUACUGGGAUGGCUCUGGACACCGGCGGACAGUCAAAAUGAAAAAGGGCAAUACAAUGCAGCAGUUCCUCCAGAAGGCACUUGAGAUCCUGCGUAAAGACUUCAGUGAGCUCAGGUCAGCAGGGGUGGAGCAGCUCAUGUACAUCAAGGAGGACUUAAUCAUUCCCCAUCAUCACAGUUUCUAUGACUUCAUCGUUACCAAGGCACGUGGGAAGAGUGGUGAGUGAGCCUAGCCUAGUCCCUCUCACAAUUUGGC